rnacentral:misc_RNA from 1 species
GUAGGUGAACCUGCGGAAGGAUCAUUACCGAGUUAGGGUCGCCUCCCAGGUGCCCGACCUCCCAACCCUGUGUCUAAAUUACCUCAGUUGCUUCGGUGGGCCGGGCGCGACCAACUGGCUUAGUAGGCCAGGCUGGCUUCGUGACCGGUGGCCGGGGAUACCCCCCGGCGGCAGAGUGCCCACCGAUGGCCCCCAUAAAACUCUUGAUACCUAAACCUGUCGUCUGAAUUUACUCGAUAUUGAAUCAAAACAAAACUUUCAACAACGGAUCUCUUGGUUCUG